AUUGAACGCUGGCGGCAGGCCUAACACAUGCAAGUCGGACGAGCGGCGGGCGGGUGAGGAAUGUAUGGGGAUCUGGCUGAUGGAGGGGGAUAACUACGGGCAACGGUAGAUAAUACCGCAUAAACUCAAAUGAACCCAUAUGGGAUUAGCUUGUAGGUGGGGUAACGGAUAACCAAGGCGACGAACCCUAGCUGGUCGGAGAGGAUGAUCAGCCACACUGGGACUGAGACACGGCCCAGACUCCUACGGGAGGCAGCAGUGGGGAAUAUUGCACAAUGGGCGCAAGCCUGAUGCAGCCAGGCCGCGUGUAUGAAGAAGGCCUUCGGGUUGUAAAGUACUGUCAGUCGGGAGGCGUUACCGACAGAAGAAGCACCGGCUAACUCCGUGCCAGCAGCCGCGGUAAUUC
rnacentral:rRNA from 1 species